GUGGAAUGUGGCAGUUUGAAAGAAAAUAGUCUCCACAGGGAAUGACACAAUUAGGAGGUGUGAUCUUGUUGGAGUAGGUGUGGCCUUGGAGGAAGUGUGCCAUUGUGGAGAGGGGCUUUGAGGUCUCAUAUAUGCUCAAGCUACUCCCAGUGAGACGGACCACUUCCCUGUUGCCUGUGAGUCAAGAUGUAAGAACUCUCAGCUCCUUUUCUAGCAUCAUGUCUGUCUGCAGGCUGCCUUGUCAUACCAUGAUGGUAAUGGACCAAACCUCUGAACUGUUAUUAUAACUCACUGUAGCCAAGGGUGCCUGGGCUGAAGAUCUCUCAAAGGCUGAGCAGCAGGCAAUAGUGCCUCUGGAAGCUCUAGGAUGAACUUCUCUGCUUGCUCUAAGAAACUGAAGCUAAGACUUGGACUGUUAGAAAAUAAUCAUUGUUUGGGAUAAGUCUUCCAUGCUUUAAAACUUGUAAAAUCACAUUUUGCCACUUCAAGAGUUUUUUUCACAAGAAUAUUCUUUGCAUCUGGGUGAAGGAGACACUCUGCAGGAAGCUGUGUGCCUGGUCCAUGGUAGGCACUGUAAGAGAUAUGUGUGAGAGAGUACAUGUGACUGUUAUCACUGCAGACAAAGCUAUGGUGAGAAAUAUCAGUUGCUGGAAUGAUACAGAAGCUCUCUGGCUUUUGGCUGAGCAUAAAAACUACAUUUCCCAAUAUCCUUUGCAGGAAACUUCACCCAGGAGUUCACAACACUGGAGCUGCCUAUGUGGCCGAUUGCCAGAGUUGAGCACACAUGGUGCUGGCCAAAAAGGGGCUUAGCUUUCCCAGGAGAGACUAAGAGCAAGAAUUGGACAAGCAGAGAACAGUCUUCAAAUGAAUGUUUGGGACACAUUUGUCACAACAUUUUAUUAUAGAACAAUGACAUUCUGAUAUAUUUAGAUUCUUGUCAUUUUUUACUUAAUCUUUGUGUGUGUGUGUGUGUGUGUGUGUGUGUGUGUGUGUGUGUGUGUGUGUGUGUGUUUCAUGUCUGUUAAUAUAGACACCUAUGUUUCAUGAUAUGUAGAGGUCAGAAUUCAACCUGUUAUAAUGGUCCAGACUUUCCACUUGGUUUAAGGCUGGGUCUCUUGUCAUCUCCAUGGUAUGGACCAGUCUUAACUGUAGUGGAGACUCUGUGAAUUCCCCUCCCUUCUACCCAAAAGAACUCUGGGAUGGAAGAUGCCGUUGUCUGAUAUUGUGUGGAUAUCUGAACUCAGGUCCUUGUUCUGCAGUGAAACCUUUACCAAAUGAACUUCAGGGGAACUAGAGAGAAUUCUGGG
rnacentral:lncRNA from 1 species